CUUCCCGCUCCCCAGGCUCUGAACAUAAGAACCAUUUGGCUGCACGGCCCUGUGCUACCUACUUUCCAAACACUAUCUCAUUAUCUUCACUCCCUCGAACGGCCCUAUUAGAGAAGUAUUAUUAGCACACUUUGAAGAAGAGGAAAUCCAGACUCAGAGAAGGAAAGAACAUUGCCAGAGGCUCCACAGCCUGUCAGUGGCAGAGCCAGGAUUCCCAGGCUCUGUCUGGCUUCUGUGACACAGGCCCCAGCACACCCAAGACCCGUGGACGACGUCCCCCACCUGGGCCACCUCCUGGCAUGGUCACAAUACGCCUCAUUUCAACAGCUCUGCUGAGUCGGAGCCUGAAGGCCAGGGCGGCUGGCUGCCUGGUGCGGAUGUCUGGCAGGACAGGCAGGACGAGACGAACGGUGCCAAGAGAAAGCCCAGGGGACUGGCCCAGGUCAGUGGGUGACAGGCAGAUGGGGCUGAGCUAAGAGGCGGAGGAGAUGCAGAGGAAGUAAGACUGACUCCUGACCCUGUUCCAGAUUUCCCUUCUCUCCCUUCCUGCAUCAGCCCUACAUCACCUCCCCCAGGAAGGCUUCCCGGCUAUGCAGUCUGGGUGGGUUUCCUGUGACUCCCCUAAGUUCCAGUAAUGCCCCACCCACAGGCCUCAGAACCCAGUUCUGUGUGGGUGUCUGGGCGCCUCGCUAAC